rnacentral:lncRNA from 1 species
AAAAAGGUUAGAGGAGGAAAUUUCUCAAAAGAAUCAAUAGAAAGGUGGUGGCGGAGGCGAAGCAUAUGAGACUCCAAACACUGGUGGCAAUGGCCCCUCGUACACUGGUGCUGGAGGCGGUGGACUUUCAUAAACAAUUGGCGGCGGUGGAGUAUACUGGUGGCGGCGGCGGUGGUGGUGAAAGAACUGGCGGAGGAGGUGGAGGUGACGGUGAUGGUGGUGGUGGCGGCGGUGGUGGUUGCGGUACUACAACUGGUGGUGGUGGUGGUGAAAUAACUGGCGGAGGAGGUGGAGGUGAGGGUGAUGGUGGCGGCGGUGAUUGCGGUAUUACAACUGGUGGUGGUGGUGAGGGCACCGGCAUUGGUGGAGAUGGGGGAGGUGGCGGCGGCAAGGUAGGAACAAAGGGUUUACAUUUAAAUGAAGAACAAUCCACGCGCUUGGAC